CCUAAGUCCUCCAACUGGGGAUGGCGGUGGGGCAGCCUGGGCCAGCUCCCUGGCAGGCGCCUCCUCUCAGUUGCCCACUGAGGCGGGAGCAGCGCUCCAGAAGGUUGCGGGGAGCAGGAGGUGGCGAACUGAAAAGAGCUCAAGAGGCACGCAGAGCUCCCCCGCCCCCGCCUAGUCCCAGCCGGCGGCUGCAGAGGCAGCUCUGCCAGUCUCAUAGAAAUUUGCCAAUUUUCCUGGUGUAAAUGCUUCCACCUUGGCUGAUUUCAAGCUACCAGUGUGAUGUCACUGAACAUGGGGCUGGGAAGAGACACAAAUAUCAGUCUUAUGGUUAGCACAGAGCUGACAUUUGGGAAUGUGCCCCUUUAUGUGUUUACUCCUGGAUCUUCUGUAAUUGCCAUAACCACCACAAGCGGAGUGAGCUCCUGAGAAAAGGAUAAGUUUGGCCUCUUUUCUCUCUGUCUCUUAUGAUGGGCAUAGAUGCCAUGUGAUACUUUCCACCAGAGGAUGACCCUCACCAGAUGCCAGUGCCAUGCUCUUGGACUUCCCAGCUUCUAGAACCACGAGCCAAAUAAACAUCUUUUCUACAUAAAUUAUG